UCCUUAGAGGACUAGCGGUUAGGCCACAGCGCUCUCACCGCUGCGGCCCGGGUUCAAAUUCCCAGCCAGGGAA